rnacentral:rRNA from 1 species
CAGUAGCCGCGGUAAUACGGAGGGUGCAAGCGUUAAUCGGAAUUACUGGGCGUAAAGCGCACGCAGGCGGUCUGACAAGUCAGAUGUGAAAUCCCCGGGCUUAACCUGGGAACUGCAUUUGAAACUGUCAGGCUGGAGUCUUGUAGAGGGGGGUAGAAUUCCAGGUGUAGCGGUGAAAUGCGUAGAGAUCUGGAGGAAUACCGGUGGCGAAGGCGGCCCCUGGACAAAGACUGACGCUCAGGUGCGAAAGCGUGGGGAGCAAACAGGAUUAGAUACCCCGGUAGUCCCUGUCUCUUAUACA